UACGUAGGGUGCAAGCGUUGUCCGGAAUUAUUGGGCGUAAAGAGCUCGUAGGCGGUUUGUCGCGUCUGCUGUGAAAACCUGCAGCUCAACUGCAGGCUUGCGGUCGAUACGGGCAGGCUAGAGUUCGGUAGGGGAGACUGGAAUUCCUGGUGUAGCGGUGAAAUGCGCAGAUAUCAGGAGGAACACCGGUGGCGAAGGCGGGUCUCUGGGCCGAUACUGACGCUGAUGGACGAAAGCGUGGGUAGCGAACAGG
rnacentral:rRNA from 1 species